CAGGUACCUCAGUUGGAAAUGCAGAAAUCACCCACCUUCUGCAUUGAUCUCGCUGGGAACUGCAGACUGAAGCGGUUCCUAUUUGGCCACCUUGCCAGCCCAUCUCGAACAUCAUCUAAAAGGACUGGACCUACAUCUGCAGUUAACUGCACAAUGGAAGAAACGGCCUCUCCUGGGCAGCCUCAUGGAUGGGGUGAAGAGACAAAGCUUGGGAGUGUAGCAUGUUGAGCACAUCUGCUCAGAGGUAACAUUUAAGCAAUAUCAGCUGAGGUUUCCCAAGCUCCCUAAAAUCUACAGAAGUUCGGCUCAAACCCCUAUCCCAGAUGCUGGAGAUGACCAAGUUCUCCAGAAACACGUAGCAAAUUCCAGGGUGGGAAGGAGAAUCUGAGCAAGGAGACAACGAUUACAUUCUCAUGGUCACUUGUCUCUUGAGCUAGUGCUUUAUUGGAAUUAGUUUAUUCUGUUAAGAGUUUCCCAAAUGUCCUGUCUUUAUGUUACACUCACAACAAAACAGACAUAAAGCACUGGCUUAGCCUCCAGUUCCACAGGAGCCUCAUCAACCCAUGCCUUCAACUGACGCCUAAGCUGAGACUAAAGAAGAUGGUAACCAAGUGAAGAGAUGGAGGUUUGGAGUGUCCAAGCAGAGAAACUACAUGUGGAAAUGCAUCGAAGCAAGAAAGAGCAUGACAUCUUCUUAGUACUGAAAGAAAAUACGACUGGACUUCAAAUAUUUUCUCAUUCGUGGGGUUAAGAGGAGGAAGGCGGUCCUGGAGACAAUGGCUUUGCCCUGAAGAAGACCAUGCUGUUGAACACCAUAUAAAUGAUGUGGCAGUGAGAGCCGAAGGCUGUGGGAUCUGAGAGCUGGCUCAGCCUCACUGCCCACCAGUCAUGGGAUCUUGGUGAAAUCACCAAUUCCUCUGAGCCCCAGUUUCCUCAUCUGUAACGUGGAUUUCAUAAAAAUCACUUCUUGUAUUGUAAGCGUUGAAAGCAUGAAUAUACAUAUAAUGUAAAUAAUUUCUCAUUGGAUAAAUCACAUGAAAAGUACUCAAUAAAUAAAACAUUAUUGUUUGUUAAUUCUU
rnacentral:lncRNA from 1 species